CUUCGGAUCGGAAACGACCGGCAAAUGGGUGAGUAAUACAUAUGCAACCUGCCCGUAGCUGGAGAAUAGGUUCCGGAAACGGAAAUUAAUACUCCAUAAUAUUCUAGUAUCGCAUGUUAUUAGAAUUAAAGCUUCGGUGGCUACGGAUGGGCAUAUGUCCCAUUAGCUUGUUGGUGAGGUAACUGCUCACCAAGGCUACGAUGGGUAGGGGGUCUGAGAGGAUGAUCCCCCACACUGGUACUGAGACACGGACCAGACUCCUACGGGAGGCAGCAGUGAGGAAUAUUGGUCAAUGGGCGAAAGCCUGAACCAGCCAUGCCGCGUGCAGGAUGACAGUCCUACGGAUUGUAAACUGCUUUUCUGCAAGAAGAAAUGUUCCGACGUGUCGGGAUUUGACGGUAUUGCAGGAAUAAGCAUCGGCUAACUCCGUGCCAGCAGCCGCGGUAAUACGGAGGAUGCAAGCGUUAUCCGGAUUCAUUGGGUUUAAAGGGUGCGUAGGCGGAUUAGAUAGUCAAAGGUGAAAGCCUGCAGCUUAACUGUAGAAGUGCCUUUGAUACUGCUAAUCUUGAGUACAGUUGAGGCGAGUGGAAUGUGUAGUGUAGCGGUGAAAUGCAUAGAUACUACACAGAACACCAAUUGCGAAGGCAGCUCGCUAAGCU
rnacentral:rRNA from 1 species